UUACAGCCACAUCAGCUUGAAAUACCAGUUCCCGCACGUUCACUGAAGUUGAGCAACGUCGAGUCUGGUCAGUACCGAGAUGGGUGACCGCUUGGGAAUACCAGGUGAUUGUAAG